AUUGAACGCUGGCGGCAGGCCUAACACAUGCAAGUCGAACGAGUUGCGGACGGGUGAGUAAUGUCUGGGAAAUUGCCUGAUGGAGGGGGAUAACUACUGGAAACGGUAGCUAAUACCGCAUACCAUCGGAUGUGCCCAGAUUGGAUUAGCUAGUAGGUGGGGUAAAGGCUCACCCAGGCGACGAUCCCUAGCUGGUCUGAGAGGAUGACCAGCCACACUGGAACUGAGACACGGUCCAGACUCCUACGGGAGGCAGCAGUGGGGAAUAUUGCACAAUGGGCGCAAGCCUGAUGCAGCCAUGCCGCGUGUAUGAAGAAGGCCUUCGGGUUGUAAAGUACUUUCAGCGGGGAGGCGUUACCCGCAGAAGAAGCACCGGCUAACUCCGUGCCAGCCGCCGCGGUAAUUC
rnacentral:rRNA from 1 species